UACGAAGGGGGCUAGCGUUGUUCGGAAUCACUGGGCGUAAAGGGCGCGUAGGCGGCUUUUCAAGUCGGGGGUGAAAGCCUGUGGCUCAACCACAGAAUUGCCUUCGAUACUGUUAGGCUUGAGACCGGAAGAGGUGAGUGGAACUGCGAGUGUAGAGGUGAAAUUCGUAGAUAUUCGCAAGAACACCAGUGGCGAAGGCGACUUACUGGACACAUAUUGACGCUGAGGUGCGAAAGCGUGGGGAGCAAACAGG
rnacentral:rRNA from 1 species